UACGGGGGGGGCAAGCGUUGUUCGGAAUUACUGGGCGUAAAGGGCUCGUAGGCGGCCAACUAAGUCAGACGUGAAAUCCCCAGGCUCAACCUGGGAACUGCGUCUGGUACUGGAUGGCUUGAAUCCGGGAGAGGGAUGCAGAAUUCCAGGUGUAGCGGUGAAAUGCGUAGAUAUCUGGAGGAAUACCGGUGGCGAAGGCGGCAUCCUGGACCGGCAUUGACGCUGAGGAGCGAAAGCCAGGGGAGCGAACAGG
rnacentral:rRNA from 1 species